AUUUGUUGCCAAUGACAUUUGAUUUUUCCAGUAAAAAUGUGAAUUUUUGAAAUUUCUAUCUACCACAAUCGGCUUAAGACCUUUCCGGUUCUUAAAGGCCUUUCAGACAGAACUGGUGGUGAUACUGAUGAAUGCAACGAUGGAAUAUGGUACAAUGAGAUGUGUCCGCUGCAGGGCUCAGAACCAGUAUUUUCCAGAUGACCCAUGCAUGACAUUACAAAAUCAUCACUGAUGGGUGAAAGGCUUAUUCCAAGUGCAAGAGAAACCAAGAGACCACAGAAUGUUUGUUGACAUGGUUUUGGAUUUCACACUGUGUAUUAUUAGGUGCCUGGAGUUGAGAAAUGUAGUCAUGUUACUUCUCUGCAUGCUGUCACAUCCACACUGCUCUACAUCCCUGAACAGAUGGCCUGGUAUGGCCUCUCUGUUCCUCUCUCUGCAAACCUGUGUUUGAUCAGUCAAGUCAGCACCUGCAGUGGACUGUGCUUGGCUGCCAGUCACAGAAAAUGCCCACCUAACCAUCUUCGACAAUAUGUGAAAUUAUUUGUUUUAAUCUGAAGUAAGAAAAAAUCCCAAAGAGGUCUGUUUCCCAGGCUUUGAAGUCAGUGGGCACAGAGCCCAGCUUUUUUCCUCUCUCCUCCUGCAUCCCCCGGGCACUGCCUUGGCCUCAGGCUGGCACUUCUCAGGCCUGCACCCACCCCAGGCACCUCAUUCAAGCACAGCCAGGCUCUCCCUUGACAAAAUCCAUGGAAAAGGUGGAAAGAUCUUUCUCCAUGUCCCACCUUAUCAGCAAAGAAAUCAGAAUCAAAAACCUCUCCUCAGUUCCCGCCUGAUGGAGUUAACGCUCACGCUUAUGUCUACAUCUGUGCCUGCCAGGAACGGAGUCCGUGGCAAUUUGGACUUCUUUGGAGUUGGGAUGGGCUGCUAACCUUGAAGCUUAAGGUCACAGGGAGGAGCGUGAACACCUUAGGAAGACUGCAUUUCAUUAGAAAGGGAAAGAGGUGUGCCACUUGGUCAGGAACUCGCUGUGUCUGCUACAGGGAGAGAGAACAACCUCUAUCAGCGUUCCUACUUUUUCCAGUUUCCGAAGGGGAUCCAGAGACCUUUGGGGAGGCUCCCCUGCUGGGAACGUGGGCUACAGACGUGGUCGUCUUAUGUGAAUCUUUAGACCCUGGAACACCAGUGCAUCCCAAUCUCCGCAACAGGUCUCUGUUCUCCUUCAUAAUUACUUCUCGGGGCUUCCACGGGUAUCACGGCAUCAGUUAUUAGUAAAGGAAGGGACUUCGCAGGCACAGCAUUCCGCAUCGUCUUUCCUCCAGCAUGAAUUAAAACACGAGGCCGAAGGCAGGUUCCACGCUCCUUCUACCUCUUUAUAGAUCCCCCCAGGGCUGGUGUGGCCAACCCGAACACUUUGAAGGACUGACUUCAGGAUCCAGCCCAGCGCCCCUGCAGGGAUGGAGAGUCUGUGACUGCGGACGUAGAGGUGAAAGAGCACCUUGAAAGAGGACUGGGGAGAGGCCCGGGCUGUGGCGAGGGGAGAUAAAGGAGGGGAGGCCUCCUCUCAGGAAGUUCCCUUUGGUUCUCAAUAUCUGGUGCAAGCGGGGAUCAACGGAAAGCUAGCGUGAGAUGGGAGAGGAGGAUGAAGGGCAUCACUGAUUUUAAGAAGAAAGAGAAAUCAUAACAAUGACCUUAACGCAGCGGCAAUGGCAAAGGGAGAAAGCUGAUAUUAGAGGAACGAAAUGUCAUUUUCAAUAUUCACAAAUUAUAUAUAGUAUAAUGAAAAAGUAGAUGAUUUUCAAAUGAAAGAUGAUUCAUAAAAGAAAAAGCAAAGCUCUCAAUAAAGGCAACUGGAAAUACUGUCCUUUCUGGAAGGCUAAUUCUUAAAAAACUACCUCAUUUAACAUCAUAAUCAAAUAUGGCUUAUAAUAAAUAAGUACAUUUU
rnacentral:lncRNA from 1 species